rnacentral:misc_RNA from 1 species
CAAUAUGCCAAUUCUAAAGGGAGGUUGGGGAUUUCUGGUGGCAAGAAAUCUGGCCGAAGGCGACCGAUACUAUCAAAGCUAAAGAUAAAUGGUUCUGAAUAUAGAAACUUUAGAGAAAGCAGCUAUAGGAGGGAAGUCAUUUCCCCGGCUCUCAAAGCAAUUCCCAGGACCAUUACAGCUGAGUUGUCAGCACCGAAGAAAUCAAAAACACGUGGGAUGAGUGUUGUGGAGGAGUCAAUGAAACUGCAGGAAAAAUCUCUACCUAAAAU